GACGAACGCUGGCGGCGUGCUUAACACAUGCAAGUCGAACGGAAAGGCCUCUUUCGGGGGGUACUCGAGUGGCGAACGGGUGAGUAACACGUGAGUAACCUGCCCUUUACUUUGGGAUAACUUCAGGAAACUGGGGCUAAUACCUGAUAGGAGCUCCUGCCGCAGGGUGGGGGUUGGAAAGUUUCGGCGGUUGGGGAUGGACUCGCGGCGUAGCGGCUUGUUGGUGGGGGAGUGGCUUACCAAGGCUUUGACGGGUAGCCGGCCUGAGAGGGUGACAGGCCACAUUGGGACUGACGUGCGGCCCAGACUCCUACGGGAGGCAGAAGUGGGGAAGAUUGAACCAUGGGUGGCAGCCGGAUGCAGCAACGCCGUGUGCGGGAUGACGGCCUUCGGGUUGUAAACCGCUUUCGCUCAUGACGAAGCUUUGUGUGACGGUAGUGGGUAAAGAAGCACCGGCUAACUACGUG
rnacentral:rRNA from 1 species